GGGAGUGCAUGUCGGCUGGUGUCGGCGACGGACUUCAAAUCCGGUCUGUCCCGCUUCUGGCGGGAUAGGUGGGUUCGAUUCCCACACGCUCCCGCCA
rnacentral:tRNA from 1 species